GUAAAAUUUUUGUUUUUAUGUUUAAUUAAUGUAUUUUAUGUUUAAUUAUUAUUUUAAUGUAAAUUUAUUGUAUUUUUAUGUUAAGUUAUGGAUUAAUUAAUGUAUAAAUUAAUGUAUUUUAUGUUAAAUUAAUGUAUUUUUUGUUUAUUUAUAUUUCACUAAAAUAAAUAUUUUUUUUUCCUAAGGAUUUUAAGUUAAGGAUCACCAUUGUAGACACUUUUUUAACAAGAGUCCUUAACUAUUCAAAAAAAAAAAAAUUUAUUACUUUAAUAAUCCUAUGGACUCCACAAUGGGUGCCACCAUUGUGGAUGCUCUUAUAGCUAUUCUCGGUCGAAAAACCUUAGCCGUCAAAGUGAGCAAAAGGGAUUGGUCUUUUAUGCUUUCCCCGGUGUCAUGCACUAGUUUACAAGAACGAAAAGAAUUUGAUUUAAGAACUUGCAUAUUUGAGAGUUGUAGAUUUUAGUCUCAUUGGAUCUAUACUGGACAUGGAGCCCAAAGGUUGUUUUAGAGUUUCUGGUCGAAAGACUAUGCAUGUGUUUUCUGCAGCUUUUGAACACAAUUAUGGCUUUUCGGAUUGAACGGUGCGGGAUAAGUGGUUCAACUUGCGGUGCGGUUUUAACAGUUAUAAAAACGUAUAGAUAUAUAGUAUAUGUAGAGAUUUUUGUUAUUGUUAACUGCGGUGCGGAGCGGGACGGUUCGUAAAAUUCGGAGCCUAUGUUUCGUUUUUACUUUAAUUCAUAACUAAUUUUAUGUAAAGACAAUUUUAUGUGUCUUUGCUUGUUUUUAUAGAUUUACUUGUAUGAUCUAUACUUCAACUACAUACAAUCAAUAACGCAAGUUAAAAAAAACGAAGCUUACCUUAUAUAGACAUAUACAAUUACUUUAAUAGCAUGUAAUAUUGUGAUUAUAACUUUUACAUUUUUAAUAUCUAUAGAUUAAAAAUUAUAAUCUAUUUUAGUCCAUUCACCCCGUGCGGAUUAUCACCUAGUAAAAAGAACAUUUUACAUGUAUAAGAGAGUAAAUACUAUGUCAUGUUCAAACGUAAUUAGGCAAAAAAUCAUUCAGUGUAUUUUUGGUAAACAUAUUUUUAAAGCCAGAUUUAAUGGCAGAUUGGUCAACAUAUGCUUAAAUGAAGAUUAUGUUCCUUUUAAAACUCUGACCAGUAAAAAUACAUUUCACAUUACAUAUUUGUCUUCUUCUUUUUUGACUAAAACGUUAUGUAAAGGUCUCACUAUCUCACUAUAUAUAUAAAAUACAAUACAAACAAAGAAGACAAAACAGAACAAAAAAGUUAGGAGAUUAUUAUAAAAAUGACUACCACCUUAAAAAGUUUAGUCGCAUUUCUUUUCACUGCCCUUUUCAUCUUAUCUUCCGUUCAUUGUCGACCGACUGCUACAAAUAUUCCAGGUUAUGAAGUAAAGCAGAUGGAUAAACAAUGUUUCGAUGAAGAAAUAUGUAAUCGUGGAGGAGCAGGCGCCUGCCAUUUUUGGUGUAGAGAUCAUGGUUAUUACUAUGCCAUAUGUACUACUGAUGCAUGUUGUUGUCAGAUUUAUUAAAUACUUAGUUAAUAUGUCCAAAAUAAAACAAUUUAAAUAAAAUUGUAACGACUCUGAUUUUUGGUCGAGCCUUUUUGGCCUUUAUUAAAAACUAGGUAAUAACCCGUGCCUUGCACGGAGUGAAGAGACGUAAAUAAAUUAUAAUUUUGAAUCGAUAGGUAUUAGAAAAGUGAAAUUCAAAGAAAAAUAGUACAUUUUAUGUAAUAAGGGAUUCAUUGAAAUUACCUAUGUCUAUAUAAAGCAAAAGUUAAUU